AUACGGAGGAUCCGAGCGUUAUCCGGAUUUAUUGGGUUUAAAGGGUGCGCAGGCGGCCAUUUAAGUCAGCGGUUAAAUCGUGGGGCUCAACCCCAUUCUGCCGUUGAUACUGGGUGGCUUGAUUGCGGUCGAGGUUGGCGGAAUUCGUUGUGUAGCGGUGAAAUGCAUAGAUAUGACGAAGAACACCGAUUGCGUAGGCAGCUGACCAGACCGCAAAUGACGCUCAUGCACGAAAGUGCGGGGAUCGAACAGGAUUAGAUACCCUGGUAGUCCGCACAGUAAACGAUGAAUACUUGUUUUCGGCGAUAUAAUGUCGGAGGCAAAGCGAAAGCGAUAAGUCAUCCACCUGGGGAGUACGACCGCAAGGUUGAAACUCAAAUGAAUUGGCGGGG
rnacentral:rRNA from 1 species